AGUGAACGCUGGCGGUAGGCCUAACACAUGCAAGUCGAACGGCAGCACAGUAAGAGCUUGCUCUUACGGGUGGCGAGUGGCGGACGGGUGAGGAAUACAUCGGAAUCUACUUUUUCGUGGGGGAUAACGUAGGGAAACUUACGCUGAUACCGCAUACGACCUACGGGUGAAAGCAGGGGAUCUUCGGACCUUGCGCGAUUGAAUGAGCCGAUGUCGGAUUAGCUAGUUGGCGGGGUAAAGGCCCACCAAGGCGACGAUCCGUAGCUGGUCUGAGAGGAUGAUCAGCCACACUGGAACUGAGACACGGUCCAGACUCCUACGGGAGGCAGCAGUGGGGAAUAUUGGACAAUGGGCGCAAGCCUGAUCCAGCCAUACCGCGUGGGUGAAGAAGGCCUUCGGGUUGUAAAGCCCUUUUGUUGGGAAAGAAAGGCAGCAGGUUAAUACCCCGCUGUUCUGACGGUACCCAAAGAAUAAGCACCGGCUAACUUCGUG
rnacentral:rRNA from 1 species